UGCCAGCAGCCGCGGUAACACGAACCGUCCUAACGUUAUUCGGUAUCACUGGGCUUAAAGCGUGCGUAGGCGGCUUGGUAGGUCAGGUGUGAAAUCCCACGGCUCAACCGUGGAACUGCGCUUGAAACCAUGUUGCUUGAGGAAGUCAGAGGUAAGCGGAACUGAUGGUGGAGCGGUGAAAUGCGUUGAUGUCAUCAGGAACACCGGUGGCGAAAGCGGCUUACUGGGACUUUUCUGACGCUGAGGCACGAAAGCUAGGGGAGCGAACGGGAUUAGAUA
rnacentral:rRNA from 1 species